rnacentral:misc_RNA from 1 species
AACCUAGCACACCUGCGGUGUGUACCUGCGGAGGGAUCAUUACCUAGAGUUGUAGGCUUUGCCUGCUAUCUCUUACCCAUGUCUUUUGAGUACCUUACGUUUCCUCGGUGGGUUCGCCCGCCGGUUGGACAAAACUUAAACCCUUUGUAGUUGCAAUCAGCGUCUGAAAAAACUUAAUAGUUACAACUUUCAACAACGGAUCU